rnacentral:rRNA from 1 species
GAUGAACGCUGGCGGCGUGCUUAACACAUGCAAGUCGAGCGAGAAGUUUUGAAAAGAUUCUUCGGAUGAAAUUUAAAAUGGAAAGCGGCGGACGGGUGAGUAACGCGUAGGCAACCUGCCCCAUACAAAGGGAUAGCAUUUGGAAACGAAUAUUAAUACCUUAUGAAACUUAACUAGUGCAUGCUAGGUAGGUCAAAGAUUUAUCGGUAUGGGAUGGGCCUGCGUCUGAUUAGCUAGUUGGUGAGGUAACGGCUCACCAAGGCGACGAUCAGUAGCCGACCUGAGAAGGUGGACCGCCACAUUGGGAAUGAGGCACCGUCCAAGAUCCUUACGGAGGGAACAAUGGGGAAAUAUGGGACAAGGGGGGAAAGCUGGUGCAACAACGGCCCGUGAACGAUUGAAGCCUUUAGGUUGUAAAGUUCUGUUUUACCUGGAGAAUAAUGACAGUACCGUAAGAGAAAGCCCCGGCUAACUCCGUG